UAGGGAAUCUUCCACAAUGGACGCAAGUCUGAUGGAGCAACGCCGCGUGAGUGAAGAAGGUCUUCGGAUCGUAAAACGGGUCUGUUGUUAGAGAAGAACACGAGUGAGAGUAACUGUUCAUUCGAUGACGGUAUCUAACCAGCAAGUCACGGCUAACUACGUGCCAG
rnacentral:rRNA from 1 species